AUGGAAGUGAUGAUUAUUUCCCCAGAUGAUCGAAGCUGAACAAACUAUGCGAAUUUUUUUCUCCAAUUAGUUGGAGAUCCAAGCCAGAACUCUGAUCCGU
rfam:Gossypium raimondii Chr13_contig_859, whole genome shotgun sequence.